GACGAACGCUGGCGGCGUGCUUAACACAUGCAAGUCGUACGGUAAGGCCCUUUCGGGGGUACACGAGUGGCGAACGGGUGAGUAACACGUGCGUAACCUGCCCACAACUUUGGGAUAACGCUAGGAAACUGGUGCUAAUACUGGAUAUGUGCUCCUGCUGCAUGGUGGGGGUUGGAAAGCUCCGGCGGUUGUGGAUGGACUCGCGGCCUAUCAGCUUGUUGGUGGGGUAGUGGCCUACCAAGGCGGCGACGGGUAGCCGGCCUGAGAGGGUGACCGGCCACAUUGGGACCGAGAGACGGCCCAGACUCCUACGGGAGGCAGCAGUGGGGAAGAUUGCACAAGGGGCGCAAGCCUGAUGCAGAAACGCCGCGUGCGGGAGGACGGCCUUCGGGUUGUAAACCGCUUUCAGCAGGGACGAAGCUUUUUGUGACGGUACCUGCAGAAGAAGCACCGGCUAACUACGUG
rnacentral:rRNA from 1 species